rnacentral:rRNA from 1 species
AGAUUGAACGCUGGCGGCAUGCCUAACACAUGCAAGUCGAACGGGAGUAGCAAUACUCUAGUGGCGGACGGGUGAGGAAUACGUAGGAAUUUGCCCUUAAGUAGGGGAUAACCCGGGGAAACCCGGAUUAAUACCGCAUGACCUCGAAAGAGCAAAGUGGGGGAUCGCAAGACCUCACGCUUUUGGAGAAGCCUACGUCGGAUUAGCUAGUUGGUGAGGUAAUGGCUCACCAAGGCGACGAUCCGUAACUGGUCUGAGAGGAUGAUCAGUCACACCGGAACUGAGACACGGUCCGGACUCCUACGGG